rnacentral:tRNA from 1 species
GGCGUCUUAUCCAAGUGGUAAGGAAGUGGUCUGCAAAACCAUUAUGCAGCAGUUCGAUUCUGCUAGACGCCUGCA